GGAGUCGCAGUGUCAGGCGUGCACUCCGCCCCGCAAGGGCGGAAGAGCGGGUUCGAAUCCCGUCGACUCACC
rnacentral:tRNA from 1 species